UGAACCAGCGGAAGGAUCAUUACAGAGUUGCAAAACUCCCUAAACCAU
rnacentral:rRNA from 1 species